AUACUCUGGUUCCUCUUCAGAUCAUAUUAAUCUUCUUUCACCUUUUACUAAAGAUUUCUGUGGAGAGGAACAAUUCUGAGUUGUUACCCAAUUUUGGGGGGCCUUGAAUUUUGCAAGGCU